CUAGCGACUUCAGAGUUUGAUCCUGGCUCAGGAUGAACGCUGGCGGCGUGCUUAACACAUGCAAGUCGAACGAGGCACUUUUGCAGAAGUUUUCGGAUGGAAGCGGAGGCGACCGAGUGGCGGACGGGUGAGUAACGCGUGGGGAACCUGCCCCAUUCCGGGGGAUACCAGUUGGAAACGACUGUUAAUACCGCAUAAGCGCACGGAAGGACAUCCUUUUGUGUGAAAAACUGAGGUGGAAUGGGAUGGCCCCGCGUCUGAUUAGCCAGUUGGCAGGGUAACGGCCUACCAAAGCGACGAUCAGUAGCCGGCCUGAGAGGGCGACCGGCCACAUUGGGACUGAGACACGGCCCAA
rnacentral:rRNA from 1 species